CAUUUUGUAGCGAAAUGAACCAAUCUGAAAUAUCCUUUCACCUGCCAAAGAAUGAAAAAAAAAAAUUAUAGGGCAUCAUGUUACACUAUAUUACAAAUAACGAUUAGAGCAUCAUCCUCAAAAGCAUACCUUAAAGUGCAUAUGAACUGAGGGAAAAAAAUGCAUAAAAAGAAUGAUAAUAUGAACAAACAGUUAAUACAUUGCACACCAGGAUCAUUGCCUACCUGAGUGCAAAUUUAUACUAGGAACUGACUUACGAGAAGAACUAUUUCUGUUCAUCGUCCCAGAAACAACACACGAAGCACCACUCUGCUCUCUUUUCUUCCUCUCUGCUUCAGCAACUGCCAGGG
rnacentral:misc_RNA from 1 species